rnacentral:lncRNA from 1 species
UCGGACUCUGACAAGAAUGUAGAACAGCUGUGUCAGUGACUGAUUGCAGCUUACAAUUUGAGUAUAUCUGCUAGAGCUGCAUUGUUUUUUUUCUCUGCCUUUCUCCCUCUCUCUUUUUAACUACUAUAGUCCUAUACUACUACAUAGUAAUGAAGUUAUUUUUACAAUGUAACCAGGAUUUUUUCAGCAUUAAUGUUGUCUUCAGGAUGGCUCCUGAGUGUUUUAUGCUGACAUUACUUCAUUCUAGAAGCACAGAAAAAAAUAUGGCUUUAUUCUUAUAUGAUACCUCUUGA